AUUGAACGCUGGCGGCAGGCCUAACACAUGCAAGUCGAACGAGUGGCGGACGGGUGAGUAAUGUCUGGGAAACUGCCCGAUGGAGGGGGAUAACUACUGGAAACGGUAGCUAAUACCGCAUACCAUCGGAUGUGCCCAGAUGGGAUUAGCUAGUGGGUGGGGUAACGGCUCACCUAGGCGACGAUCCCUAGCUGGUCUGAGAGGAUGACCAGCCAAACUGGAAGUGAGACACGAUCCAGACUCCUACGGGAGGGAGCAGUGGGGAAUAUUGCACAAUGGGCGAAAGACUGAUGCAGCCAUGACGCGUGGAUUAAGAAGGGCUUCGGGUUGUAAAGUACUUUAAGCGAGGAGGCGUUACUGGCAGAGGAAGCGCCGGCUAACUCCGUGCCAGAAGACGCGGUAAUUC
rnacentral:rRNA from 1 species